GGUCAGAGUUAGGAGUUAGGGUUAAGUGUUAGGGUUAAGGGUUAAGGGUUGGGGUUAGGGUCAGGGUCAGGGGUUAGGGUUAGGGUUAGAGUUAGGGUUAGGGGUUAGAGUUAGGGGUUAGGGUUAGGAAUUGGGGUUAGGGUUAGGGGUUGGGGUUAGGGUCAGGGUCAGGGUAAGGGG